GUUAAAUUAUUUUUAAUACUCAAUUGGUAUAAUAUCAUUUGCAGGUGAAGUGAAAUUAUUUCGAAGGUUUAAAUGAUUUCUUGGGCUUCGUUCCUAUUGGUGCUUGGUAAGGGAAUGGAAGGAAUGCUGGAUGGUACAAUCCAUUUCUCAUGGCUUGCUAUGAUCCCGACACUGAUGAAUAUCAAAGUGUCUGUCGUGUAAUGUCCGGCUUCUCUGAUGCGUUCUGUAUAGAGAUGAGAAAUUGUUAAAUCUCUUGAUGUUGAAGAUGGUUAUCUCCAGUCAUAGCGUUCAGAUUCUUGGUUAAAU